AUUCUGCUGUGAUGAACCAUGGAAAAAAUUCACAUGUCAGACUUCAGAGAUUUUGCAUAAAAAUCUAUGAGAAGAAACGUUCAUGUUUCCUGAGCAGACA